UUUUGCUCUCUUGAAAGGGACAACAUAUCAGUUUACAUAAGUUACCACAAGCUAAUUGCAGUUAAUUUGAUAUGUGCUUAUCAGUGGACCCAGGCUGUGAGGUUGAUUGCUUCCUUAGGUAGCCCUGUUUGUCGGAAGAAGUAGAUAAGACCAAUAAAGGAACCGCAGACCUUAUUAGAUCGUUCUCAUUGUGUAUUUUAUAUUCGAAUACCGUUUUUGAGAACACAGUGCCACAACUUUGAGGGCUUGUACAAUCGUCAAUUUUACCGUAAACAUCUUAACUUUGGAAUCACGUAUUUCAAACGGUAUAUAUCAUAAAUAUCGGAAAACAAUUUUACUUCAUAGGCACUAAUAUUAUUCACAGCAAGAAACGCGAGGAUAACAGCCGCACCACACCGGGAUUGUGGGAGAUUCUAAUCGAUUUUAAGAUUACUUGUUAGCCUGCAAAUUUGACGUUGGUUUUGCUCCCCGCGCGUACCUUGUUUGUGUACUUUUCAAUUGAGGUUGCGGACGUCCAUACGGAACUUGUCCUAAGAAAUUAAAGCCUAUUGUUUUAAUUUCAUUUUUUAUAUUCGCUAUUUAUUUCCCCCUUUUUUUUUCUGUAUUUCCAGAAUGCAUUACGGCUGCCAUGAAAACCAAAGUGACAAACGCGCCGCAACAUUAUGCCUUAUUUUAUUUUAUUAUUAAUUUUUUUUUGUUUGAUUGCGGACUUCGUUGACGUAUCGCACCUGUUGCGAAGGCCACGUGUCCGGCUAUAUCUAUAUUUACCUUGACCACAAAUUGAGUGGGAGAUAGAACUAUAAAAGGAGAAAAGAAGAGUGUUGUUCUUCAGCUGCUCGCCAAAGGAGUUGGUCGUUUGCUCUUGAACCUUGACAAUUGACCUCAGCCAUGUUUAAAUUGUGUUUUUUCCUAGCUGUUCUUUUCGUACCAAUUCUGUUGUCAUACCAUGCCACAGCCCUCGUCGAGAGCCGAGACAAAUCUGCAGACAUCUCCUUUGGGGAUUGUAUGGAUCUCAAACCCCGGUUGUGCAAGCUUAUACGAUCCCGCUGUUUAAAACCAAGAUACAUUGCUUUCCUUUACACGAACUGCAGGAAGACUUGCACCUUUUGUUAAAAACGUUAAUUGUCAGGCUUCACCGAUCCCGAUAUGCAAUCUGGAUAAACUCAACCCUGAAGUAUUGGAGGACAAACAAGAAGGGGCUGUUCACUGAAAUUUCAGAAAACAAAUAUCGUGUAUUAAAACUUUAAACAAAUUUGUGGUCGUUUGUGUUCAAUUUUUGAAAAUGAAAAACACGAUUGAAAGCUGCCUUCUUCUGUCAACCUUUUUAUUUUCAACCUGGCGAAUGAAUAUAUUGGGAUUUCAUUUCAAACAAAAAUAGUAGUUCCGAGUGUAGAAUGUGAAAAGGGUUAA